GGUGGGCACCCAAAGGAGGUGAUGGGCACCCAAUAGAGGUGAUGGGCACCCGCUGGGGGUGGUGGCCCCCCAACAGUGUUGGUGGGCACCCAAAGGAGGUGAUGGGGACCCAACGGUGUUGAUGGACACCCAACAGUGUUGGUGGGCACCCAAAGGAGGUGAUGGGGACCCAACGGUGUUGGUGGGCACCCAGUGGUGGUGAUGGGCACCCAAUGGAGGUGAUGGGAACCCACUGGAGGUGAUGGGUCCCCAACAGAGGUGAUGGGCACCCAGUGGUGGUGAUGGGCACCCAACGGUGUUGGUGGGCACUCAAAGGAGGUGAUGGGCACCCAACGGUGUUGGUGGGCACCCAAUGGAGGUGAUGGGCACCCAACAGUGUUGGUGGGCACCCAAAGGAGGUGAUGGGCACCCAACGGUGUUGGUGGGCACCCAAUGGAGGUGAUGGGCACCCAACAGUGUUGGUGGGCACCCAAAGGAGGUGAUGGGCACCCAACGGUGUUGAUGGGCACCCAAUGGAGGUGAUGGGAACCCAGUGGAGGUGAUGGGUCCCCAACAGAGGUGAUGGGCACCCAGUGGUGGUGAUGGGCACCCAACCGUGUUGGUGGGCACCCAACGGAGGUGAUGGGCACCCAAUGGUGUUGGUGGACACCCAAUGGUGUUGAUGGGCACCCAGUUGUGUUGAGGGGAACCCGAUGGAGG